rnacentral:rRNA from 1 species
GGUAGUCCACGCCGUAAACGAUGUCGACUUGGAGGUUGUGCCCGUGAGGCGUGGCUUCCGGAGCUAACGCGUUAAGUCGACCGCCUGGGGAGUACGGCCGCAAGGUUAAAACUCAAAUGAAUUGACGGGGGCCCGCACAAGCGGUGGAGCAUGUGGUUUAAUUCGAUGCAACGCGAAGAACCUUACCUACUCUUGACAUCCAGAGAACUUAGCAGAGAUGCUUUGGUGCCUUCGGGAACUCUGAGACAGGUGCUGCAUGGCUGUCGUCAGCUCGUGUUGUGAAAUGUUGGGUUAAGUCCCGCAACGAGCGCAACCCUUAUCCUUUGUUGCCAGCGGUUAGGCCGGGAACUCAAAGGAGACUGCCAGUGAUAAACUGGAGGAAGGUGGGGAUGACGUCAAGUCAUCAUGGCCCUUACGAGUAGGGCUACACACGUGCUACAAUGGCGCAUACAAAGAGAAGCGACCUCGCGAGAGCAAGCGGACCUCAUAAAGUGCGUCGUAGUCCGGAUUGGAGUCUGCAACUCGACUCCAUGAAGUCGGAAUCGCUAGUAAUCGUAGAUCAGAAUGCUACGGUGAAUACGUUCCCGGGCCUUGUACACACCGCCCGUCACACCAUGGGAGUGGGUUGCAAAAGAAGUAGGUAGCUUAACCUUCGGGAGGGCGCUUACCACUUUGUGAUUCAUGACUGGGGUGAAGUCGUAAACAAGGUAACCGUAGGGGAACCUGC